UGUGUGUGUAUGUUUUGACUGCCAUUAAAUACAUAUACUUUCAUUGAACCAGUACAGCAAAAUGCUACUCCAGGUGUGGACUGCAGACUGUGUCACACGGGAACCACAGCUUACCAGUCUGCUGUGCUGAUAUUUGAAGCACCUGUUACAGGAAACCCUGGCCUUGAGAGGAGGUGGGUUCUAGCUCCCGUGAAGCUGCCCAGAACCUUGAGUAAGCCACUUACCUCCUCUGAGACUUCACGUCCUCAUCUUUUACAUAAGGGUAAUAACUCCUACCUGAGAGGGCUGCUGUGGGGGGCAAAAUGAGCUAAAAGGACAAUUGACUGUUUCCCUGUAUAGAGGGAACUUUGCCAGACAGAGCAGAGCCCCAAAGUUGUUCAGUACAUGAUUAAACAAAGAGCCUCUGCAGUUGCUUUGGGAAAUAGGGCUUCGCAAAAAUGUUUUGUGUAUUAUCUUAUUUUCGGUUUCUUUUGCAAAGUCUCUCAUUCCCACGCUGUUUGCACUGAGCGGUGCAAUGGCAGGUUGCUUUUUGGGGUGAUCAGUGUGUCGAGAACAUUGCUUGGGCUUUCAUCUCUCAUUGCACUGUCCUACUGCUUGUGGGCAGAGCCAUACCUUACUAAUCUAGCAGGAAGGAUGAAAUGUGGCUGGCAAACCCUGUCAUGCUGAAUUACAAUGUCAUUAAUCUUUCACAUUCUUUCCCUAGAUUCUGCUGAUCUUCUGAACAGAGAAUGGGCCUGGCUUACUACCUUCAGAGACUCAUCAGACCACCUGGAGGGAAUAUCAUUCCUUUAAGAUUUCUUUUCUGUUUCAUUUUAUAUAAUCAUGAAUUUUAGUCGCUGACUGAGAUGGAAUUCCUGCACGAGAGGUUUGCAGAAUUUGUGAUCCAAUUAGCAAGGGCUACUUUCUACUGCGCAGUUGCAGAUACAUUUUUUAAACUGACAGUUAUCUCUCUAAAGGGGGCUAUUCUUCUCGUGUGACUGAUGGGCAUAACUUUACAAGGAAGCAGUGUGGCCGUUAGCACCUGGGUACACAGACCCAUGUGCCUGUCCCUGCUGGGAAAACACCACAGUAGGGGCUGAGAAAAGCAUUGCUGAUCCCAGAGAGCGGACGGUCUACUGCGAGGAACUUAGACAGCAAACGGGAAUGACGGCUGACAGUGUGAAUUACAUCACAGCGGUACAUCAACGCACCUUAGAGUCAAUGUUCUGGGUCGAGUAGAUUGUUUUCGUCUGAGUAAUAUGCCCAACACGUGGAGGAAAGAGAAAACCAGGGAAGAGUAAGGACGUACCUCUGCAGGGAUGGUCAGGGUAGGUAUGGCCCUCCUGGCUUUACAGGGAUGCUCAAGUCUCACCUAAUAUCAUCGACUAUAAGGAGCUGGACUGUGACUCAGACUCUCACAUUCCAGCUUCAACUCUGAGCUCCACCACUACAUGACCACACCUUUUACCUGCCACCCCUGCAAGUGUUUGCCAGCUCUGAUCCAACGGUCCCAUGGUCACUGUUUUUGGCCAGGGCCAGGUUUGAACCCACCACCUCUGGUAUAUGGGGCUGGUGCCCUACUCCUUUGAGCCACAGGCACCGCCCUACAUUUGUAAAUUUAAAACUCAGGAUGAUGAACGUUCGUGUGUGAACAGUAGACGGUUGUGGACCGCAGGCCAGCUCUGCCAAUUACCGGGUUGUCAGAUUUGGGCCACUUUCUUCACCUCUUUGAGGAGCCGUUUCCUCAUCAGCAAAACAGAAACCACGUCUAUCCCACAGGACUGCUGUGAGGGUGUUCCGUAAGAUUUAAAGGUUCUUCUGCGGGGUCCAACUGAACUCAUGUUCUUAAGUUCCAUGGGAUAACCUAGGAGCGUGGACGCAUGUUAGUAACACCAUCCUCGUAAUUCCCUGGUGCCAAAUGCUACACAACCCACUGCUGUUAGAAGAUCCAAUGACAGUGAAAUGCUCACAGCAGCAGAGCUAGUGGGUUUAUCAAAUGUGAUUGGCUUCAUCCAUCAACCUCCUGAAGUUUGGAACCAGAGAGGGUAACGGCGGGAUCAUCCUACAACUGCCUCUUGCCAGCAUCAUCAGAAAAAGAUCCAGGCUGACGGGAUGAAGAGGCCGUCGGCACAUCGUUCUCAAGGAUAAAUUGUUGUCUUCCCCCAAUUUACAGAGGAAUCGUUGUGUGUUAUCAAAUCUUUUCUGCAUUUGCACGAUCAAUCUCAGCUUACCUCAAAAAUGAGUACAAGAAAAGCCUUCUUUGUGUACAAGACAAACCUUCUUUGUAUCAGUUAGUCUUUGUAUUAACCCUUGAAAAUAAUCCAUCGGAAAAAGAACCAAUCAUCUCUAACAACGUAAUAACGGAGAAGAUGAAGAGAGAUGAGAGACAGCAGCAGAACUCUCAAAAAUAGACUAAUUUCUGACCUAAAUGUUGCCAGAGAAGCAGAUUCCUAGAUGUGUCUUGGGGCUUGCAGCUGCCAGGAAUGUUUUCUGGGUGGUCACAGAGCUCAUUAAUCACUCUGUGUGCUCGCGAGCCUGGUGGCAGGUUGACAUGCAGAAGCCUACAGGGCUGGCUGGACCUGGCAGAUCUCAUCAUUUCGCUGGCUGGUGCAACUCCCUUCAAAGCCCAAACUCUUUUGCGUAGCCUAAGGAGGCAUCUCUGAUAGAAGGCUAAACCUGCCUUUCAUAUCAUCUCUGACUACGCCCUUUUUUGCAUCCUAAGCUGUAGGCCAUGCUGGGCCAUGCUACUGUGCCUUUUAAAUUCCAGUCCCUUGGCGAUUGUAUCCAUUCUCCCUACUCAAUCUGGUAGCUUUCAAAGCUCCCCCAGAGCUCACUUACCUCAUUUUAAUAGUUACUUCCCUGUUUUAUCCUCAUAGCAUGGUUUUGUAACUGUCCAUUUAUUAUUGUCACUAUUGUUUACUAUAGUUACUAUUGUAACUAUCUUGCAAGGGCAGCAAAUCACUCAUGAAUCUUUUUAUCUCAGCACACAACACAAUGCCCCCAGCACAUGACAGGGGCUUAAUAAGUGUUUGAUGAAUAAAAGAGGGAGUGGACUCAGCGAAUGGGCGUCCAGACUGGGACCAACAACAACCAAAGCUAAUUGUACUUUUCCCAUGGAAGCACAUUGUGCAGCAAAUUCAAUGUUCUGAGUCCCGAGUGUCCAAAAUUUGAGUUUUGAAAUAAGGACAAGAAGCAAUAAAUACUUAGACAAGUGAAAGGCAGGUGAAGUCUGGAAUUGGGCCAAGUUUUCAAGCCAGACACUGGCUUUUCCAGAGACACAGGGAGCCCUGGGAGUAGAGGGUGAAGAGAGAGGAAUCUCAAGUUAGCUUUGAACAUAGUUUAGUAAGUAGCUCAAGAAGGACUGAAAGGGGGAAGACGAUCAUGGGCUGCAAAGGGUCCAAACCAUACUAAAGUCCUACCUGUCUGUCUAUGCGGAGUGGCGUUACAGGGCACUUACUUUGAGGUCAGAAGCAGAAACUUUAUUCACCAAGGACAAAAUGGAAAUCCAAUCCCUAAUUAUCUCAGGAGCAAAGAAGAGAUUAGGAACUAAGGGCUAGAUCAACAAGCAUGCCUUGUGCCAAGUCAUUUACUUGCCUGCUUCAUCUAAAAUUUUUUUCUGCCAAGCCCCCAUCACAACACUUAAAGAAAGACCAUCCUCAUCUGUGGGGUGGUGGGAGCAGUGUCUCACGGUUAAGCUGUACAGUCAGACUGCCUGAGCCCAUCGCUCUCCAGCUGGGCGGCCCUGGACAAUUACUUAACCUCUGUCAGCUGCAAAAUGGCUCUGAGAAAAAUACCUAUUUCAUAGAGCUGUUGGGAGGAUUGAAUGUGUUAAUCCACGGAAAGUAUUUGACUCAGAGACUGGAAGGUUCGGAGCACGAGGCCAGGAAAGUCAUUACCCUUUUAAAGAAAUUCAUGGCAGGAAACACAUACUUAAUUUCUCAUACAGAAUUCGGAUCAGUUCACUUUCUAUGUAUUUGUUUUUAUAAAAUAAUUGCCACAAUGGCUUUUAAAAGGGAAAAAAAAUCUACCAAUUAAAAAAAAAAGACAGCACUUUGCCUAGAAAUAAGAAUAUACUGGGUGUCCCAAAGGUCUCCAUAUAUAAGGAAAAUGUAAAAUUUGGACAUCCUAUAGAAACAUAUAAUGGAUCUAAAACACUUUACAAAAAAAACAAAGUUUUAUUUUCCAGAUGAUGCAUUCGUUUAGUUACAACUAAUGUAUAAAUGGCUGAAUUAUGGCUUUUAAAAAAAGCAGUCGCUUAAAUAACACAAUAGGAAAUGGGAUUUAGUUUUGUGUAUAUAGGCAAUUAAAAAUCAGCCCCAUUGCCCUGCAGUCCUCUGGACUCCAGCUGCCUCCUUUCUUCUCACCCAGCACCCUUAGGUGGGUGAGCCUCAUGGGCCUUAGAGUUCAAGACAGUGCCAGCAUCUCACACGCGUGCCAAGACGCGGAGGAGGAAGAGGACGUGCUUUCCCUUUAAUAGCACAUUUCAGAGACUGCCGUGCCACAUCCCCGCGUGUGUCCUCAGCCAGCACUUAAUCAUUUUACCACAAGGAGUAGCGGAAGAGGCUGAGAGGCAUGGCCUGUGUUCAGGUAAUGUAAUUCCACGGCAAACUGGGGAUUUUAUUACUACAGAAAAUGAGAACCUGGGGGCAACUCCAGCCUUUUCUAGAGCUGGCUUAGGGGUCCUUCAUGGGGACUGGAGUGUUAUCCUUGUAACUCCAGUCUGAUAAAAAUAGUCGUAUGAAGGCAAUUUGCUUGUUACUAACUCAUUAAGUCAAAACUAGACUUCCCUGGGUUUCUGUUGAUCUCGGUGCUUUGUUUCAAGGUAAUAGAUAUUUGUCAGUUUUUCCUGAGAUGAAUUUCUCUCAUUGCGGAACUAUUUCUCAGGCUAGAACUUCCAUUUCUAGAUUAAAAGCAGUAUUUGUGAGGUGUUUACUGCCAGACUGAUGUCCCAGAAAUCUUGGAGUGUUUAAAACAGGACAAUUGUGAUUUUUCUUGAUCAAUGCCCUUGACCAUGCUGUCCCCAUCAUCUGUAAUGACUUUUCAACCUUUCUUUCUAGCAAACUCUUAUUCAUUCUUCAAAGUCCAUCGUAUAUUUUCCAUGUUGUGAGACCCCUGUAACUCUCCCAGUCACGUUGAGCUUUGCCCUCCUCUUGUUCCCACAGCACCUUGGAUUUAUCUCCGGCAUUACAUUUGAUACAUUGUAUUGUGAAUGUUUGCAUUCCUCUGCCCUCUCAAAUGGAAUUAUUAAUGAUUGAA